UACGUAGGUGGCAAGCGUUGUCCGGAUUUAUUGGGUUUAAAGGGUGCGUAGGCGGCCUAUUAAGUCAGUGGUGAAAUAUCUCAGCUUAACUGAGAGUGUGCCAAUGAUACUGAUGGGCUUGAGUACAGAUGAGGUAGGCGGAAUUGACGGUGUAGCGGUGAAAUGCAUAGAUAUCGUCAAGAACACCGAUAGCGAAGGCAGCUUACUGGGCUGUAACUGACGCUGAUGCACGAAAGUGUGGGGAGUCAAACAGGA
rnacentral:rRNA from 1 species